UACGGGGGGGGGCAAGCGUUGUUCGGAAUUACUGGGCGUAAAGGGCUCGUAGGCGGCCAACUAAGUCAGACGUGAAAUCCCUCGGCUUAACCGGGGAACUGCGUCUGAUACUGGAUGGCUAGAGGUUGGGAGAGGGAUGCGGAAUUCCAGGUGUAGCGGUGAAAGUGCGUAGAUAUCUGGAGGAACACCGGUGGCGAAGGCGGCAUCCUGGACCAACACUGACGCUGAUGAGCGAAAGCCAGGGGAGCAAAGCGGG
rnacentral:rRNA from 1 species